CACAUCAAAUUGUGUUACUUA
rnacentral:snRNA from 1 species